CGGCGGACGGGUGAGUAAUGUAUGGGGAUCUGCCUGAUGGCGGGGGAUAACUACUGGAAACGGUAGCUAAUACCGCAUAAUGUCUACGGACCAAAGCGGGGGACCUCCGGGCCUCUUGCCAUCGGAUGUGCCCAGAUGGGAUUAGCUAGUAGUGGGGUAACGGCUCACCUAGGCGACGAUCCCUAGCCGGUCUGAGAGGAUGACCAGCCACACUGGAACUGAGACACGGUCCAG
rnacentral:rRNA from 1 species